UAAAAAAUCAAAAGAUAAAUGUUUAUGGUUGAUACAAAACUUCACGCCAACAUAUAAAUGUGUCGUAUAUCUUGUAUCAAGAUAGUUCUUGUUUGUUUAUUGUCGUCAGUUCAUAAUUAAGGCAAUCUGAAAUUGAGCCCUUGGUCUGGACUAAAGCUAAAAACGAAGGCCAUACGGUAACCAAUAGUUGCUUAAAAUCAACAUUAUUUCCCCUGAUAGUUAGCUAUCUGAUUGUUAAUACUGUUAGAUAUCGACGAUUCAUCUUUUGUGGUUGAACAAAGGAUUUUUUUUUAAGUUUAUUUUUUUUGGCUUCAUAUAUAUACUUCAUCAAAUUGUCUGUACGAAAUAAAAUGCCCCUCCGCACCAAAUAUUUAAACACAUAAAAAGAUGGUUCAUUCCUUC
rnacentral:lncRNA from 1 species